GACAGAGGUUAUCCUUGGGUAUUGUUCCUCAAGUGUUGCCUACCUUGAUUUGUGUGUGUGUGUGUGUGUGUGUGUGUGUGUGUUUCAUGUGUGUGCAUGUACGUAUGAAGGCUAGAAGUCAAUAUCCGGUGUCUUUCUCAGUUUCUGUCCACCUGAUUUUUUGAGACAGAGUAUCUCCUUGAGCCUUGGCUAGACUGACUGGCUAGCAAUAUGGAGAUCCUCCUAUCUCCACUGCCCUAGCACUGGGAUUAUAGGUAUAUGCCACAGCAACUGGUUUUUCACUUGUUCUUGUUUUGUUUGUUUGUUUGUUUGUUUGUGACAGCGUCUCUCAUUGGCCUGAGACUUAGAAAUUGGGCUAAACUGGCUGGACAGUGAGCCCCAGGGAUCCUUCUGUUUCCACCGUCCCAGGGAUGGGAUUACAAGAGUGCUCCAUGCCUGGCUUCUAAAUAUGGAUUCUGGAGAUUGAAUUAAGAUUUUCCUGCUUGCAACGUAAUCAUUUUAUUGACUGAGUUAUCAUCCCAGCCAAGAAGGGUUUACUUUGACUUACAGUUUGAGAAAGAUGUGUCCACACAUACACAGUACAUCCUGGCAUGGAUGGCAUGGAGGGAGGAGGGUGAGGUGGCUGCUCACAUUGUUUCCACAGUCAGGAAGAGAGAGAGAAAUGUUAGCAUUCAGUCCAGGACCCCAGCCCAGGUGGUGAUACCACCCACAUUCAGGGUGUGUCUUCCUUCUUCAGGUAAACCUUUCUGGAAAGGACCUCAAAGCACACCCAGAGGUGUAUCUUCUCUGUGUUUCUAAAUCCAGUCAACUUGAAAACGGAGAUCAGCUGCCACAGAGUUUCUUUAGAAUGCUUCGAGGGUUUGGGGAGGUAGUUCAGUAGAUAAAGCGCUUGCCAUGCAAAUGGGGGGGCCUGGAUUUUGGAUCCUUAGAACCCGUGGGUAAGCAUGGCAACCACCUACAAGCCGGCAGCAGGCAUCUACCCGCUGGCUACCCAGUUUAGCUGAUCAGUGAACUCUGAGUUCAAUAAAUGAAGAGGACAGCAAUUGAAGAAGACACCCAGCAAUAACUUUGGCUCUUUUCUGUGUGAACAUGAAUACACAUAUGCACGCAAACCACACAUAAAAAAGAAGUGCUUUAAACUUUAUAAAAUACUUUAAUGAAUGUUAUUUUAUAUCAUCUUGGAUCAUUGAUGUCCAACAGAGAUUUCUACAAUGAUGGGAAUGUUCUGUUCCAUCAAAAAGGUCACACUAGUCACCUGGGCCGCACAGUGGAGGGGUGGGCGUUCAAACACAAACCAGGAUAUGUCUAUCAGUAUCCUGGAUGCUUGGGCAAAAGUAGAGGAUAUCAACUAUGAAUCUCUUUCCAUGUGAUAGACCAUAUAUUCUAAAAUAUAAUAAAAAACUUUAGUCUAUUGAUGAACAAAAUUUAGUAAUUUUAUAAAAUGAAGCAAACAAGCUUUAGUAGAAUUUAUAAGUUUCUGCAUUUUUUUAGACCUUGGCUGUCAAUCAGCUCUGCAUUUUUGGUGAGAAUCUGUAUACAUACUAGAUAAUUAUAUUAUCUGAGUUUAGUUCAUCUUACUAAUUUACACCAUGUAGCUAUUCAGAAGUUUUCUCCGCCUAAACGAUGAUGAAAUUUCCUUUGGACCGGAUGUCAGCUUCAUUUGCUGUGAACAUAACAGGAUGGAGCUUCGCUUGUAUCCAAGCUCUCAGUUGGCUGUAUUAUGUUCUGCUAUGUGUCCAAUGAGUUCAAGGACUUCCCAAGUCACAGCAACAUCUUCUUCAGUCUCCUCAUUCCCAUGGGCCAAUUUCUCCUUCCUAGUGAAAUUAUACAGAAGAUUUGGAGAUUCCAGUAUCUUGCACAGUUCCUAUCAUGAGCACUCCUGUUGAGUUUCAGGAAACAUGAGGCUGUGGAUUCAUCCCAGGUUGAUAUGGAUCACAUUUGACCAAGAGAGACCUCCUGAACCUUGACAGAUGAUAUCUAUCAACAAAGGUUAUAGCUGGUCUUCAUAGGACUUGGCCAUUAUCUCAAAUUUUCUUUCUGGGACCCUAAACCUGCUUUGCCCAUAGAUAGCAGGAAGCAGUCUAGAGAAAACAGCAUCCACAGUCCCAGGAUUUGGGUGAGACACAUCUGCUCCUGGCAGCACCAAUUUACUUCAGAGAUGAUGGGCAUUGAAGAUAUUCCUUAUGGAGUUUGCUUUCAUUGUGGCAAGGUUAGCAAAUAAACUGCUCUUGCCUUUGACUGUUGACAAUGUGCUGUGCGGACUGGACAUUCAGGACAUAUAGGAAAAAGAUUGUUGAACUUUGCCAAAACAAGGCAGGACAAUCUUUCAAAUUUCCUGCUUCCCUGAAAAGUUUGUUAGAUAUUCUGGACCUGUAGUUUGAAGAUAGAUGGCCCAAUGUUGCAGAGGAUGUCUUGGUCAAAUAUCUCUGUUGUCAGAUAAUAUUAUAUCCCUCUGGGUCUUUGAUGGAGUUGAAGACUAGAUAGUUAUAGUUGCAGUUUUCCUUAGUUAUGAUAGAAAGUAAAUUAGAUGUAAA